rnacentral:tRNA from 1 species
GCCUGGGUGGCUCAGUCGGUUAAGCAUCCGACUUUGGCUUAGGUCAUGAUCUCAGGGGUGGGUUCAAACCCCAUGUCAGGCA